rnacentral:rRNA from 1 species
UGGGGAAUUUUGGACAAUGGGGGAAACCCUGAUCCAGCCAUCCCGCGUGUGCGAUGAAGGCCUUCGGGUUGUAAAGCACUUUUGGCAGGAAAGAAACGUCAUGGGUUAAUACCCCGUGAAACUGACGGUACCUGCAGAAUAAGCACCGGCUAACUACGUGCCAGCAGCCGCGGUAAUACGUAGGGUGCAAGCGUUAAUCGGAAUUACUGGGCGUAAAGCGUGCGCAGGCGGUUCGGAAAGAAAGAUGUGAAAUCCCAGAGCUCAACUUUGGAACUGCAUUUUUAACUACCGGGCUAGAGUGUGUCAUAGGGAGGUGGAAUUCCGCGUGUAGCAGUGAAAUGCGUAGAUAUGCGGAGGAACACCGAUGGCGAAGGCAGCCUCCUGGGAUAACACUGACGCUCAUGCACGAAAGCGUGGGGAGCAAACAGG